rnacentral:rRNA from 1 species
UACGAAGGGGGGCUAGCGUUUGUUCGGAAUUACUGGGCGUAAAGCGCACGUAGGCGGAUACUUAAGUCAGGGGUGAAAUCCCGGGGCUCAACCCCGGAACUGCCUUUGAUACUGGGUAUCUCGAGUCCGGAAGAGGUGAGUGGAAUUCCGAGUGUAGAGGUGAAAUUCGUAGAUAUUCGGAGGAACACCAGUGGCGAGGGCGGCUCACUGGUCCGGUACUGACGCUGAGGUGCGAAAGCGUGGGGAGCAAACAGG